CUGAAGAAAUGGCAAGGUUGAGCUGGCUCUUCGGGGUAUGUGCUCGCUCUGUCGCUUUUUCUACUUUCCACUGUGCACCUUAUGUAGGCUUAUUGACUGGGAUGAAGGAAAGCCCUUUUGACCUUCGUUAAGCCUAUGUCUAUACACACUCUAUAAAGUUUAUGAAUGUCUUAUUGUUGGUCUUGACCGACCGAUAAAACCUUAUA
rnacentral:misc_RNA from 1 species